rnacentral:rRNA from 1 species
GCUGCUCCCCACCUCCAGAGAACUUUCCGGAGGUGGGUUGGUGCUUUCGGGAACCCUGAGACAGGUGCUGCAUGGCUGUCGUCAGCUCGUGUUGUGAAUUGUUGGGUUAAGUCCCGUAACGAACGCAACCCUUAUCCUUAUUUGCCAGCGAGUAAUGUCGGGAACUCUAAGGAGACUGCCGGUGACAAACCGGAGGAAGGUGGGGAUGACGUCAAGUCAUCAUGGCCCUUACGAGUAGGGCUACACACGUGCUACAAUGGCCGGUACAGAGGGCUGCAAACUCGCGAGAGCAAGCUAAUCUCACAAAACCGGUCGUAGUCCGGAUCGCAGUCUGCAACUCGACUGCGUGAAGUCGGAAUCGCUAGUAAUCGUGAAUCAGAAUGUCACGGUGAAUACGUUCCCGGGCCUUGUA